UACGAGGGGGGCAAAUGUUGUUCGGAAUCAUUGGGUUUAAAGGGUGCGCAGGCGGUAAAGUAAGUCAGUGGUGAAAUCCCUUCGCUCAACGAAGGAACUGCCAUUGAUACUGCUAUACUUGAAUAUAGUUGAAGUAGGCGGAAUGUGUAGUGUAGCGGUGAAAUGCUUAGAUAUUACACAGAACACCGAUAGCGAAGGCAGCUUACUAAACUAAUAUUGACGCUCACGCACGAAAGCGUGGGGAGCGAACAGG
rnacentral:rRNA from 1 species